AAAAAAUCAAGGAACCAGCCUCUUAUCAGAGUAAGCUAACACAGCCAUGGGAGAAGGAGUUGGAUUCUGGGCUGACUUGUGCAUCAUCAACAGGAGAUUACCCGGAUGUAACUUCUGAAUUACAGGUCACUUUUGCCAUAACACCAGCACACUGCCUGAGUAAAAGGUUUCUGAACUGAGAAAGGGUGUGGAAAUCAGUAGGGUGGAAAGAAUCACCCCCAAGGCCAUAGGUUUUGUGACCAGAAAAUAACAUGAAAGUCAAAUGGGAUAAAGAAGCAGCACAAUGAAUCACAGCCAGUGAAUGAAUUCGGCUUGGAAAAGAAACCUCCAGCUGUGAUCCACCUGAGAAAUGCUGCAGGACAAAAACUCAAAACAAAAAGGAGAGAAGGAAAAGCAACAACAACACUGGAAGAUUAGGAUGAUACUGAAUUGUUUUUCAGAUCAAUGUUUUCUCUGACCUCAGUUUCAUGUUUCAGCAUGUCUAAUAUCAGCAACGUACAAGUGAGAUGGGGGGAUGGGGUAGACGUGAGUCUGAAAUGAGGGACAGCCAGGAGAGCUGAAAAAAAAUGGUAGUGUCAUUCCAGAUCCUAGCAGACAAUUUGUCAGUUUUCCAACCCAUUGUGUAAUCGGGCACAGUAAAAUAUGACUGACAGUUUCCAAUCCAUCAGUCUCCAAGGCAAGGACUGGAACAGCAGGAGCAUUGCAAAUCAGCAUUUACGUGGAUUGGCAGAGAUGUGUAGGGGAAGCUCAUCCAACACUGUGAAUGGCUCUAACUGAUCCUGUGUCAGUCCCUUAUGCUUGUGAUCUAGAUAAAGUCAUGAGCAAUAGGACAAAAUAAUUCACGAAGAAUGAACCCAUGCAGAAAAAGCUUAUUGUGUUUUUUUUCUUUUAAAUCAAAAACAGAAUUACAAAAUGAGCAGACAAAGGAAAACUGGACUUAGUUCCAAAUUAGUUUGGCUAUGAAUUCAGGUGACUAGAUUCACUAAGAAUUAUAAACAAAGUAAAUUGAUAAAAAGCAACACAGGGUGUGUCUACACUGCAAUUAAACACUAGCAGCUCGCCCAUGUCAGCUGACUUGGGCACCCAGGGCUUGGGUUGCGGGGCUUGAAAAUUGCGGUGUAGACAUUUGGUCUUGGGCUGAAGCCUGCACUCUGGUGUUACCUGAGUUUUUCAGAACCCCCAGCAGAGGCAACUUAACUAUUUCUCUCUAGGCAGCGUCAGGAAUAAAUCAAUAGGAAAACAGCAAUGCUGUCUGAUCAAGGAUUAAAUGCAAGUAAGCGUGCUUUUGUCUAACACUGCAGUUUAUUAGAUUUAAACACACAGGCA